rnacentral:rRNA from 1 species
UACGGCUCAGUAACACGUAGCUAACUUACCCUUAAGUCAAUGAUACCCUCGGGAAACUGAGGUUAAUACUUGAUAGAAAAUAAUUUCUGGAAUGAUUUAUUUUUGAAACUCGAGCUUAAGGAUAGGGCUGCGGCUGAUUAGGUUGUUGUUGGGGUAAAAGCCUAACAAGCCGAUGAUCAGUAAGGGCUCUUAGCGGAGAGGCCCUGAGAAGGAAUCUGAGACACUAUUCCUAGCUCUACGGGGUGCAGCAGUCGAGGAAAUUUUACAAUGCUCGAAAGAGUGAUAAAAUAAACCAGAGUGUUUCUCCUAGAGAAACUUUUAUUUGCUGUAAAAAGGCAGAAGAAUAAGGACUGGGCAAGACCGGUGCCAGCCGCCGCGGUAAUACCGACGGUCCAAGUCGCAUCCACAUUUAUUGGGUCUAAAACAUUCGUAGCUUGUUUUGUAAGUUUCUUGUGAAAUCCUAUAUCUCAAGUAUAGGGCGUGCAAGAAAUACUGCAUUACUAGAGACCGGAAGAUGUAAAGAGUAUGAUUAAGGUAGCGGUAAAAUGUGUUAAUCUUAAUCAGACUAACAAUGGCGAAGGCACUUUACAAGUACGGAUCUGACAGUGAGGAAUGAAGGCUAGGGGCGCGAAAGGGAUUAGAUACCCCUGUAGUCCUAGCAGUAAACACUGCUCACUAAACAUUAGUACCUCCUCGAGAGGCAUUAGUGCUGUAGAGAAGUCGAAGAGUGAGCUACCUGGGAAGUAUAGUCGCAAGGCCGAAACUUAAAGGAAUUGGCGGA